UUACGACCAUAUCGUGUUGAAACACCAGUUCCCGUACAAACACCGAAGUUAAGCAACAUCGAGCCUGGUUAGUACCUAGAUGAGUAACCGCUUGGAAUAUCAGGUGUAGUAAG